rfam:Ciona intestinalis ciona0176, whole genome shotgun sequence.
CAAACGGCUCUUUUCAGAGCCACCCAUUUUGUAUACAAAGAGAUG